rnacentral:lncRNA from 12 species
AUUAGAAGGGAGGCCAACUGGACAUGGUAUUACUUGGGCAAAACAAAUCUUAAAGGACAAGAUUAUGCUUAUUAUUGCCUUGUAAAUGCCAUCAAGAAGCUUUUCAGUGGCAUAUAUUUGGCAAGGAAAUGUUCCUCUUAGAGUAAAAAAGCAUCAAUCCUAAAAUCUGACUGAAGAAUCAGAAGCCAUCAAAAAGCAUUAUCUCUCAUCUUUGAAAUUUAUACUGAAAACGUUUAUGUGUGCAUUGGUUCUGGUACACUCAGAGAUAUCAAGGUGAGGGGUGGAGCUUUCCACCUCAAAAGACCAAUGAGAUGCAUGGAGUUUGGAAUGUCUGCCAACCCACACUGGCUUUCACAGCCGGGUGAUUUAUAAAUGUAUGUGCCACUAAACCAACUCUAACAUGAAACUGUAUACAAGAUGUCCUGUACUGGAGGCAGCCAGUCUUGAACUGUGGAGGUGCAGAGGACAGGAGGCUCCUCAGGCAGACUGCUGGCAGUGGGCUCCACUAGACCUGUCUUGGAGGUUGGUGACCAGGAAGGGACAAACUUCACUGUCUGGACACCUUGCUCCUGGGGCUGUUACAGCUCAGAAAUCCUGAAACUUCAGAUAAAAACCCAGCAGAAGGUAAGAAUUCUUGUCACAUCAGUCUCUGAAUCUCUCUGCCUACAGAGAACAACGGAAAUGAGAGUGUAAGAGUCCCUUUUUGUUUUCUUAUCUAUUUUUAAAAACUUUUUAAAUUUUAACUCAGUUUCAUUAACAUAGUGUAUUAUUUUCAGGGGUAGAAUUUAGUGAUUCAUCAGUUGCAUAUAAUGCCCAAUGCUCAUUACAUCUUGUGCCCUCCUUAAUGCCUAUCACCCUAUUACCCCAUCCCCUCACCUACCUCCCCUCUAGCAACCCUCAGUUUAUUUCCUAUAGUUAAGAGUCUCUUAUGGUUUGCCUUCCUCUCUGUUUUUAUCUUAUUUUUCCCCUCCCUUCCCCUAUGUUUUAUUUCUUAAAUUCCACAAAGGAGUGAAAUCAUAUGGUAUUUGUCUUUUUCUGACUGACUUAUUUUGCUUAGCAUAAUGCCCUCUAAUGCCAUCCAUGUUGUUGCAAAUGGCAAGAUUUCA